rnacentral:tRNA from 1 species
GGGGAUAUAGCUCAGUUGGUAGAGUGCUUGCCUCACAUGCACAAGGCGCCCUGGGUUCAAUCCCCAGCAUCACCA